GGAAUGUUGAGAAGACAGAAGAUUCUGGCUGGGAUUUCAGUUGGAUAGCUCUCAACCUUGAGAAGCCUAGGAGGAGAGGUCUGGCCAAGCCUUUCUCCUGGGAUUUAUCCAUCUCUUUCCUCUCCUGGAGCAAAGAACUAGAAACAAAAUUGAUGCUCAUUGAUUGGGAGAACAGCUAAACAAAUGACGGUCCUUGAAUGUAAUAAAACAUUACUAUGAGAAAUGAUGAUUGUGAUACAGAAAAGCAUGGAAAGACUGCUGCAGAAUGAAGUAAGGAGAGCCAGGAAAACAAUAUUUGCUGACCAUGACCGUGGAAAUGGAAAGAAAAGCAGCUACGAACAUUCAGAAAUCAAUGUUGUGGGUACAGCUCCUGGAAGGGAUGAGAAAUGAAGGCCCAGGGGUAAAGAUGAAUGAUAUAAAAAGAUAAGAUAGCAAUAAAAAUUCAUUUUUAAAAAACA
rnacentral:lncRNA from 1 species